CAAGACAGAAAUGCUGGAGGCAGAGAUACUCACAGGAUUUGGAUGGCUCAUUGCAGCCUGCAAUAAAUGAGCCUGGAUAUGUAACAUCUCUCAGGAUCCAAAUAAAGGGUAUUCCCUUAGAAUCACUCAGUGGUGUAGUCAAAUGGUGCACAGGCAGUGAAAGCCUGCAUUAAGACCGCUGGUACUGGGAAACCUUCAGCUGCCUAGGUACAAAGAGGGAGGAGCUGACGCUGACCAGAUUGAUGAAUUUGCCUGCUAGAAUAUUAGAAGAUCUAUUCAUAUUACCUGACUCUGAAGAUUUCCUGUAUGAGAUGCUGGAAGACACAUUUUCAAACUUCAGUGCCUGAACUACAAAAUGAUGUUACGGUUUUUGGUUAAGCCUUCAAAAAAUUCUCAGUCAUACAUGCAACAAUAAUCUCUACAAGUUCUAUAAGAAUAAAAUAAUAUGAUACU
rnacentral:lncRNA from 1 species